GAUGAACGCUGGCGGCGUGCCUAAUACAUGCAAGUCGAGCGAACAGACGAGGAGCUUGCUCCUCUGACGUUAGCGGCGGACGGGUGAGUAACACGUGGAUAACCUACCUAUAAGACUGGGAUAACUUCGGGAAACCGGAGCUAAUACCGGAUAAUAUAUUGAACCGCAUGGUUCAAUAGUGAAAGACGGUUUUGCUGUCACUUAUAGAUGGAUCCGCGCCGCAUUAGCUAGUUGGUAAGGUAACGGCUUACCAAGGCAACGAUGCGUAGCCGACCUGAGAGGGUGAUCGGCCACACUGGAACUGAGACACGGUCCAGACUCCUACGGGAGGCAGCAGUAGUGAAUCUUCCGCAAUGGGCGAAAGCUUGACGGAGCAACGCCGCGUGAGUGAUGAAGGUCUUCGGAUCGUAAAACUCUGUUAUUAGGGAAGAACAAAUGUGUAAGUAACUAUGCACGUCUUGACGGUACCUAAUCAGAAAGCCACGGCUAACUACGUG
rnacentral:rRNA from 1 species